UACGUAGGGGGCAAGCGUUGUCCGGAAUCAUUGGGCGUAAAGAGCGUGUAGGCGGCCCGGUAAGUCCGCUGUGAAAGUCCAGGGCUCAACCCUGGGAUGCCGGUGGAUACUGUCGGGCUCGAGUCCGGAAGAGGAGUGUGGAAUUCCUGGUGUAGCGGUGAAAUGCGCAGAUAUCAGGAGGAACACCGGUGGCGAAGGCGGGUCUCUGGGACGGUACUGACGCUGGAGGCACGAAAGCGUGGGGAGCAAACAGGA
rnacentral:rRNA from 1 species